GUCUACAGCCAUACCACCCUGAACAUGCCUGAUCUCAUCUGAUCUCGGAAGCUAAGGAGUGUCGGGCCUGGUUAGUACUUGGAUGGGAGACUUCCUUAGAGUCAUGGAGGAAGCAAACA
rnacentral:rRNA from 1 species